GACAGAGGUGCCAAGCGUUAGGCGGAAUCACUGGGCUUAAAGCGUGUGUAGGUGGAUGUCUAAGUACCUUGUGAAAUCCCAUGGCUCAACCAUGGAACUGCUCGGUAUACUGGACGCUUGAGCCACUUAGGGGCUACCGGAACAAAUGGUGGAGCGGUGAAAUGCGUAGAUAUCAUUUGGAACGCCAAUGGUGAAACAGGUAGCUGGGAGUGUGCUGACACUGAGACACGAAAGCCAGGGGAGCGAACGGG
rnacentral:rRNA from 1 species